rnacentral:lncRNA from 1 species
UUUAAGAAAACAAAAAAAUCCAACAAUACAACAAAGAACUGGGCGCAGCACGCAGCUAGGGCGUGCGAGUGUAGCGUGUCUUCCCCACCAGCACCUCCCAAUCCCUUCGCCCCCCAAAUCUGGCUUCUGGUCCAAGCGAGGCCAGCUCGAAGGCAGCGCUGGGGGCCCGCCAGCGCCCCCUCCUGGACGGUCCAUGCCAAGGGGCACAGGUGCUCAGACCGCAUGCGACCUUCACUUCCGGCUAGUCAGCUGGUUCUCCAGUUCCUCCAGGCGCUCGGUCAGCUGGGCCAGGUUCCGUGUCAGGCUCUCGAGCGCCCCCAGCGUGCGGCCCUGGAAUUCCACGAGGCUUUCGCAUUCGCAGGGACUCCGAAGCUCUGUCCCAGCGCUGAUGCCCUCCUCUGCAAGCAGAACUCCAAGAGUAAAGGGAAUGAGGAGCCAAAGGAAGCCCAUUGGACUGUGGCCUGGACCUUCUUAUACACCUCUACCCAGUUGAUGGUUGAGUAUGUACAGGCUUUGGAUUUAGACCUGGCUUGAGUCCCAGCCAAGGAGCCCAGAAGUCCCGGGAAAAACUCAGCCCCUCUAAGCUUCAAUUCCUGCAUCUGUAGAAUAGAUAUAGUGAAAGAAGCUAUCCACUGGGGUUGUGAGAAUUAGACGAUUUGUGUCUGUGUGCACACUUGCAGGAGAAAUUCUGAAACCCCGAUGCUUGCUGGGAUAACUACAGACUGGCUUGCUAGAAUCAAGAUUCUGAUUCAGAACGAGGAUCUGUAUUUCCAAUAAGCUCCUAAAACAUGUUGAUAGUGAAGUCCAUGGAUUUCACUUUGGUUAAAAAGAAUCCAGAGUGACAAACACCCUCCAAAUGAGACGUAUCAAACAACGGAAGUGUUAUAUAUCUGUCCCAUCCGAUUCAGUUAGCCACAAGCCACCUGGAGCUAUUUAGCGCUUGAAAUGUGGCUGGUGCAACUGAAGAACUCAGUUUUCAUUUCGUUUUAUUGCAGUCAGUUGCAAUUCAUUAUACACAUGUAGCAACUGAAUACCAUAUUGACACAAUAUCUAAGAACAAUGCCAGGCACAAGUCAACCAUGUGUUGUAUAUUUUAAGUAAAUCAGCAUUCCUCAAACUGUGGUCUGUGGAUAAGCAUAGCCUACAAAUAUGUCAUAAGGACAAAUUAUCCAACCCUAUCCCAGAUCUACUGAGUCGGGGUGAAGCCCAAGAAUAUAUGAUUUUAUUGAUUCUAAAGAAAAUAGCUUUUUAUUAUUUAAAUUAUGUUUAAGCUAUGGAUCCAAGUUUAUCUCCAUAUGCAUUUCUUCAUCUGUGAGUGGACUCAGUUAAAUGUGGUUGCCUGUGUUUUCUUAACAUAAAAUAAUGGUGAACCUUACCAGAGAUCCCCCCACCUAUCUUGCUGUAGGGGUGCUGGGUACAGACGUGAGCCAUCAUAUCUGGCUUUUUGUGAAUGUGUUCCAGGACUGAACUCAGGUCAUCAGGCUUACAUGGCAACUGCUUUUACCUGCUGUGCCAUCUCGCCAGCCCCCGUUUUUAAUAUUACAGGUAAUAACAUCGUUGGCACAGUUCUUGGCACUCUACCUCCAUACAAAGAUACCAUAUGAGUCAAGCAAACUCCCACACUUGGCAAACUACUUGUCUAAAAUUACUUGAUGGUCUCAAUAACACUCCCAAAAGCAUCACCUCUGACUUCAGGAUUGUGGAAACAGAGGGUCACAGAAGGAAGAGGACCGGCCUAGGUUGUGGUACAGCCAACCUAUGAAGAGCCCUAGCCAGGGAGCCCCAAUCUGCCUCAGAAACCUAAAGCUGGUGGUAACUUAAGCAUCCUCCCUCCUAUAGAAGAGGGGAAGGUAGGGAGGAGGAACUUAGCCAGAGUCACUGUAGAUGACAGAGUCAGGACAGGAAGGGCCCUAAAGCCCAGGGCUUCCAAAAUACCUUAGUUCAUCAUUAGAGUCGGGAUUUGAGCACACUCAACUACAGAAUCUGCACUGGGCACAGCCCUGCUGACCUAGCUCCACGGCAGUGCCUCACACAAUGGAAGAAGAAUCCCAUCUUAGGCCUGUGUGAGAAUCUAAAGACCCUAUAGUCAAAAUCAAGGCCCCCAAGAAACUCUGUUCCCUAUAAGGUCCAACUGCCCCCCCCAGGGACAUCUGGGUCUGUUUCCCCCAGCUGAAGACCAAAUGCAUUGGAAUGACUGCAUUUAUGGUCAAUAUUCCCCCAGAAGGCACAAGCCACUGUGUCAAAGCCCAGUCCCGUCACUUUGCCAAGUCCAUAAAGUUGAAUUCCAACAAGUUGGAGGGUUAUAGUUACAUAUAACUUACAUAUGCGAAAUUUGGCUUGCUUUUGAUUUUUUUUCUCUGGGGCUGGAGAGAUGGCUCAGUGGUCAAG